GAGGCGGCGGCCGGAUGAACUCGGGCCGGAAGUGACCUGAUGAGGAAACGAGGACCAAGUUUGUGAAGAUUUGUGAUGUUAAAGUGGAGCUGCAGACAGACUGUGGAGUGACUGAGACUCCGUCCUCAUUCCUGCUGCUUAAACCAACAUUAACAUCAAUGCCACUCACUCUCCAGAGGAGGCCUGGGUCCUGUGACCAGAGACUCUGUGAUCUGAUUGGCCACAGAGCUGUCAAAGCCGGAGUUGGAGGAGUCUGGGUCGGGGUCGUUCAGGAUGCUGGGGAAGCUGGCUUUACUCUGAGUCGGCAGCUCGGACUGACGCUCUGCAAGACGAGGACACGGAAAAGAGACGUUAAAAAUAAAAAGACGCAGGAGAAACACAGAGCUGUUCGGACUAGAAUGGAAUUUAAUCACAUAUACCCAUACGACAGGCUGCAGGCCUUUUUAUCCACCAGAGUUUUUGUUGUUUAUCACAAAAAAGUAAAAAUAAAUCCACAUCUGAACUUCCAAAAAUGAAGAAACAUUCAUCAGAUUUGGAGCUGGAUGUGUUUCUGUUCAUCUGUUUGAAUUUUUUAGUGUUAUCACGACUACAAAAUGAAAAUUGGUAAAUAUUGCACUACAGCACUGUGUAAGUGCUCCUUUCUAGAUGUCUAUAUUUCAUUUUUUUUCCAAUAGUUGCUUUAUUGUUCUCUCUUUUCCUUAUUCCCAGAGUGGCACCAACAGAAGAAACCAAAUUCCUUGAAUGUUUUGUACGUACUUGGACAUUAAAGCUGAUUCGGAAAAGUAAAGACUGACUGAUUGAAUA